GACAGAGGGUGCAAACGUUGUUCGGAAUUACUGGGCGUAAAGCGCGUGUAGGCGGCUUGGCAAGUCGGGUGUGAGAGCCCUGGGCUCAACCUAGGAAGUGCACUCGAAACUGCUUCGCUUGAGUGUCGGAGAGGAAAGCGGAAUUCUUGGUGUAGAGGUGAAAUUCGUAGAUACCGAGAGGAACAUCGGUGGCGAAGGCGGCUUUCUGGACGACUACUGACGCUGAGACGCGAAAGCGUGGGGGGCAAACAGG
rnacentral:rRNA from 1 species